GCCAAGUCACUGGGGCGGUGGGGACGAUACUUCUCAUUUGUAGCCUUUCAAUUUGGUGCUCUGUCUGGCUGUUUUGAGAGCUAAACUCCCCAUUGCUCUUCUGGAAGGAGAGCUCGCUGUCCAGUACUGCGCGGGAUGACCGAGUGAACAGGGGACUGGAGACGAGAUGUGGCUGGAGACUGAGAGAAGCAGAGGAGUCACACUCCACUCACCUCCACCUCCCAAAGUGCCGGGAUCACAGGCUUGUGCCACUGCGCCCAAACAUAACUGAAGGUUUUACAGACAUGUCUGUGGCACCACAGAACACGAACGGUCCCAAUGGAAACCCCACGCCCAAUUUCCUCAGGGAACUGCUGUGGCGGAGGCUUGCACCCCACGUGGUGGCCCUAGGUACAACGGAUUCCGGCGGGCAGAGCGCCUUAGAUCCCGAGUCUGCAGCCCAGGGCAGAGUGCCAACUUCUCCUCAUCCCUUCGUACGCCAUAGAAUGGAAAGACACUGGGGCUCCUCUGUUAGGAGCGUAGGAGGGACAGGCUGGACAAAAGGGCUCCCGAACAGCAGGUUCGGAGGAGAGCAACCCGGCCCUGACCCCCGCCCCCAACACCGUUCCCGACCUCGCUCCCCAAUAUCCCGGCUCUGCACCAAUUCCUCCCGCAAGCCAAGGAACCCCGAGGCACUCCUAGUCUCUAAACCGUUUAUUUCUCCCCACCAGAAGGUUGGGGUGGGCGGGCCUAGAACACAGCGUGCGGCGGGUUCCCGGGUGGAGCCAGCGCAGACAGCGUGGGUCCCUGCGGCUCUUAGGCGAAGGUGGAGUUGUUCCAGCCCACAUUGGCCGCGUUCAUGUCGUAAUAGUUGAUGUAGACCCUGCGGGGGGAGGAGGCCGGACUCAGCGGGUGGCUCAGUCCCGGGCCUGGCCGCGCGCCGCCGCCCCUCCCCCGCCCCUCCGCGACUCCGCGUACCUGUCCGGGCUGAUGCGCAGGCGCUCGGCCAGCAGGCCGCACAGCAGCUUGCUGUAGGAGCGGUUCUGCGCGCCGCCGAUCUUGCCGAUGCUGUGCAGGCUGCAGAGCGCGCACGGCUCGCUGGAGCCGCCGAAGGCCAUGAGCUGGUCCGGGACCACGUGCACCGCGAUGUACUGCGAGGAAAGGGCGCGGUCAGCCCGCCCCAGCGACCUCGUCGGGCCCCGAACGUCCACUUCGGGCCCGAGCCACCGUCCUCCCCCCGCCCCGCCCCCCAGCUCCGUUCAGGAGUCGCCUCCCCAGCUCCCAGCGCGGAACCCCUCGUCCGGUGGGCACCCCCCUCUUCCUGUCCCCUCCCGGCAAACCUGGGGGGGCUUGCCGGUGGCCUGCGCCAGCUGCUGGGUGAGCUCGGAGAGGAACCCGUCCGGCACGGAGGCGCGGGGCACGUUGGUGUUUACGAUGAACAUCGGCAUGAUGGCAGAAGGACCAGGAGACCCGCGCAGAGGCACAGACGCACGCGCCGCGGCCGCCGCUGAGCUACGUGCCUGACUUCUCGGACACCACUGUGGUCCCGCCUUUUGUGACGCCACCGCCGGCGCCAGGCCCCGCCCCCGCGAGGCUGCGGCUCCGCCCCGAGUGGGGAAGUCACCGCCUGCCUCGGCUCGACCCCCGCAGGGCAGGACCCUGGGCGACUCCGCCCGUUCCUCCAGCAACCGCCGCUAAGCCCGGCGCACCGCUCCAACCUGUUCUCCACUUGGCGGCUAGAAAUCGGCCUGUUCCGGCCUCGCCUCGGGUCUUUCUUAGUCCUUUCACUAAGUCACCGAUGUUAGUCGCCAGGAGGCGCUGUGCCGGGGGUGGGGAUGCGGCGGUGAACCCGGAAGAUGGCCCCUUACCCUUCCAGAGAUGAAGCCCAGUUCAUUCCACUGCACGCACUGAGCCCCUGUACCUCCUGUCUUUGGGCCACAUGUCCUCAAGGGCUCCAGUCCCGCAUGCGUGAGCUUGUGUGUUUGAGAUGGGGCGGGGUAGUCAUCGCGGCAGGUGAGAGGGGAGCUGCCCCUGCGAAUCACCAUCCAGGGAACUUCCCUGAACCCCUGCUCUUUAAAGAGGAUAGGAUGCUGGGAGGCACCGAAGGGAAGGAGGCGAGGUCCAGAGCAGGUUCAGUGGUUCAAACGUGCUCAGCUCCCCUUCUCUGGGCCUCUGGGCAACUUCAGCUCCUCAGGGAAGCCACACCCUAGUCA
rnacentral:lncRNA from 1 species